rnacentral:rRNA from 1 species
UACGAAGGGGGCUAGCGUUGUUCGGAAUUACUGGGCGUAAGGCGCGCGUAGGCGGUUUUGCAAGCCAGAGGUGAAAUGCCUGAGCUCAACUUAGGAAUUGCCUUUGGGACUGUGAGACUUCGAGGACUGGAGAGGUGAGUGGAAUUCCCAGUGUAGAGGUGAAAUUCGUAGAUAUUGGGAAGAACACCGGUGGCGAAGGCGGCUCACUGGCCCGUUGCUGACGCUCAGGCACGAAAGAGUGGGGAGCAAACAGG